rnacentral:rRNA from 1 species
UACGUAGGGCGCAAGCGUUGUCCGGAAUUAUUGGGCGUAAAGAGCUCGUAGGCGGCUUGUCACGUCGGGUGUGAAAGCCCGGGGCUUAACCCCGGGUCUGCAUCCGAUACGGGCAGGCUAGAGUGUGGUAGGGGAGAUCGGAAUUCCUGGUGUAGCGGUGAAAUGCGCAGAUAUCAGGAGGAACACCGAUGGCGAAGGCAGGUCUCUGGGCCACUACUGACGCUGAGAAGCGAAAGCAUGGGGAGCGAACGGG